GAUGAACGCUAGCGGCAGGCCUAAUACAUGCAAGUCGAGGGAGAAUGUUGGAUUCGUCUGACAUGAAACCGGCGCACGGGUGCGUAACACGUAUGCAACCUACCUUUAACUGGGGUAUAGCUCAGAGAAAUCUGAAUUAAUCCCCCAUAAGACUACGACAUGGCAUCAUGAUGUAGUUAAAGCUCCGGCGGUUAAGGAUGGGCAUGCGGUACAUUAGCUAGUUGGUGAGGUAAUGGCUCACCAAGGCUACGAUGUAUAGGGGGUCUGAGAGGAUGAUCCCCCACACUGGUACGGAGACACGGACCAGACUCCUACGGGAGGCAGCAGUAGGGAAUAUUGGGCAAUGGACGCAAGUCUGAACCAGCCAUGCCGCGUGAAGGAUGAAGGCCCUAUGGGUCGUAAACUUCUUUUAUUAGGGAAGAAAAAACGGGAUGCGUCCUGUACUGACGGUACUUAAUGAAUAAGGAUCGGCUAACUUCGUGCCAGCCGCCGCCGUAA
rnacentral:rRNA from 1 species